rnacentral:lncRNA from 1 species
CUCAGCAAGAGGCUGACAUGCCUGGACUUUCUGCCCGGGAGGAGGGCUGAGCUUUUGGGGCCUGCUUCCAUAGGCAUACAGCCCAAACGCGCAGUCACACCAGCUAUGAAACCUCACAUGGGUGGAGGUUUGCAAGGUCAGCUCCACAAUCAUCCAGGUGAGUGUGACUAUGCUGCCUGGAGGAUUUCUUGCCUGGCACUCUCUGCAGCUUCCACCUGGCUCUGAGGUCCAUAUCCUGCCUCCAGCAGUAUCUGCACAAGGGUCACCUGGAAUGGUCCGGGCAUUCCCAUAUGAGCAGGAAAGAGCUACUCCUUCCAAUGUCAGACUUGCUUUCUCAUCCAGCAGGUUAGAGAAAGCUAGGACAUAA